rnacentral:rRNA from 1 species
UACAGAGGUCCCGAGCGUUGUUCGGAUUCACUGGGCGUAAAGGGUGCGUAGGUGGCUGGAAAAGUUUGAUGUGAAAGCCCCGGGCUUAACCUGGGAAUGGCAUUGGAAACUGGCGGGCUUGAGUGUGGCAGAGGGGGGUGGAAUUCCGCGUGUAGCAGUGAAAUGCGUAGAGAUGCGGAGGAACACCGAUGGCGAAGGCAGCCCCCUGGGCUAACACUGACGCUCAGGCACGAAAGCGUGGGGAGCAAACAGG